UUGAUCUAAUCAUACAUCUGAUUGCAAGUCGGAUUUUUAGCUCCAAGCUAUUAGGUCU
rnacentral:tRNA from 1 species